GGCAACUCUUCGUGGGGAACAGUUGGAACGACUGCUAAUACCCAAUGUGCCGAAAGGUGAAAGAUUUAUCGUCUGAAGAUGGGCUCGCGUCUGAUUAGCUAGAUGGUGGGGUAAGAGCCUACCAUGGCAACGAUCAGUAGCUGGUCUGAGAGGAUGAGCAGCCACACUGGGACUGAGACACGGCCCAGACUCCUACGGGAGGCAGCAGUGGGGAAUUUUCCGCAAUGGGCGAAAGCCUGACGGAGCAAUACCGCGUGAGGGAGGAAGGUCCUUGGAUUGUAAACCUCUUUUAUCAGGGAAGAAGUUCUGACGGUACCUGAUGAAUAAGCAUCGGCUAACUCCGUGCCAGCAGCCGCGGUAAUACGGAGGAUGCAAGCGUUAUCCGGAAUUAUUGGGCGUAAAGCGUCCGUAGGUGGUUAUGCAAGUCUGCCGUUAAAGAAUGGAGCUUAACUCCAUAGGAGCGGUGGAAACUGCAAGACUAGAGUACAGUAGGGGUAGCAGGAAUUCCCAGUGUAGCGGUGAAAUGCGUAGAUAUUGGGAAGAACAUCGGUGGCGAAAGCGUGCUACUGGGCUGAAACUGACACUGAGGGACGAAAGCUAGGGUAGCGAAAGGGAUUAG
rnacentral:rRNA from 1 species